rnacentral:lncRNA from 1 species
GGAAAUGCUUUUGAAGUCCUUGGGUGAGAGAUAUGAGUUGGGUUUGGAAUGGGGAAAUGAAUGUGUAUCAUAUAUGUUUGGGAAAAGGGUAGAACAAUGGAGAUUGAGCAUUGUAUGCAUGAGUUGAUCCAUUUCUUAGAUAUAUUUUGUGCAAUGUCAAGGCUACUUGUCUUGAGAGUAUACCACCUUAAAUAACAUAUAUCUUGAACCCCUUGACUCACUUGAUUAAAAAGCCUCCCCU